rnacentral:lncRNA from 1 species
GGAGGUCGGUUAGGUGAUCUAGGUCAUCACCAUUAGGCUUUUUUUUGUGUAAACGGGAAUUUAUAUUAAUAUCAAUUGGUCCUAUUUCGAAAUUAUGUAUCACGUAGACCGUUUAACAAAAAAAUGCAUUUUACACUGAGGUGCCAAUCCAAUUGGCGUCUCCUUUCAACUGAUACACAUGGGCGCCAAUUGGAUUGGCUGCACCAUGUGCCUUAGCCAAU